GGUUCCAGGGUAUAGUGGUUAGCACAUCUGCUUUACAGGCAUAAGAUCCUGUGUUUGAUCCCCAGUGGAGCCA
rnacentral:tRNA from 1 species